AAAUGCAAGAUAAAAGAAUAGACUUGUUUUGUUAUUUAGAAAAUGUAAAUAAAAUAAUCAAAUUACGAUUUUUUACUGGAUAUACUUCUCAAGUUGUAAUUUUUGGUACGUAGAAAUGAGAAGAGGAGAAAUUAGAUUAGAAAAAGAAAGAGUACAAAAACAAAAAGAGAAAGUAAGAGAUGAAUAGAGGAAAGGGGUAAGGAUGAUAUUGUUUAUUAGUGAAAAAUUGUUCAUUUUAGUAUUUUAGUGAGUAAAACCAACCAAAUGUACCAAUUGAAAUAAAUAUCUGUUUAUACACUUUAUUUCAAAACUAAAUGUUCAAUCACCAAAAUAGCAAAACUACUAAGUUCUAAUACCAAUGGUGUAGUUAUCCUUAAAACAAAAGGAGGAAAACUGGAAAAGAAUAAUUUCAAAAUGGAAAACAAUAAAUCAUAAACACCACUA
rnacentral:misc_RNA from 1 species